ACUCCUACGGGAGGCAGCAGUAGGGAAGUCUUCCACAAUGGGCGCAAGCCUGAUGGAGCAACACCGCGUGAGUGAAGAAGGGUUUCGGCUCGUAAAGCUCUGUUGUUAAAGAAGAACACGUAUGAGAGUAACUGUUCAUACGUUGACGGUAUUUAACCAGAAAGUCACGGCUAACUACGUGCCAGCAGCCGCGGUAAUACGUAGGUGGCAAGCGUUAUCCGGAUUUAUUGGGCGUAAAGAGAGUGCAGGCGGUUUUCUAAGUCUGAUGUGAAAGCCUUCGGCUUAACCGGAGAAGUGCAUCGGAAACUGGAUAACUUGGGUGCAGAAGAGGGUAGUGGAACUCCAUGUGUAGCGGUGGAAUGCGUAGAUAUAUGGAAGAACACCAGUGGCGAAGGCGGCUACCUGGUCUGGCAACUGACGCUGAGACUCGAAAGCAUGGGUAGCGAACGAGGAUUAGAU
rnacentral:rRNA from 1 species